rnacentral:snRNA from 1 species
GUGCUCACUUCAGUAGCACAUAACUGAGAUUGGAAUAAUAGAGAAGAUUAGCAUGUCCCCUGCACACAGAUGAUAUGCAAUUUCAUGAAGCAUUUCGUAUUUUU